GAUGAAGAACGUAGCGAAAUGCGAUAAGUUAUGUGAAUUGCAGAAUUCAGUGAAUCAUCGAAUCUUUGAACGCACAUUGCGCCCGCCAGCACUCUGGCGGGCAUGCCUGUUCGAGCGUCAUUUCAACCAUCAAGCCCCCAGGGGCUUGUGCUGGGGCCCUGCGGCUGCCCGCAGGCCCUGAAAACCAGUGGCGGGCUCGCUAGUCACACCGAGCGCAGUAGCACAUCUCGCUCAGGGCGUGCGGCGGGCUCCUGCCGUGAAACCCCCCACUGUAACCCCAAAGGUUGACCUCGGAUCAGGUAGGAAUACCCGCUGAACUUAAGCAUAUCAAUAAGCGGAGGA
rnacentral:misc_RNA from 1 species